AUCCAAAUUGAAAGCAACAUCAUUAAAAAAACGGAUAAUUAGGCUCCGGUCCUUAAUUUUUGAUAUUCUUUGAUUAAAAUCCUGUUAUUUUUUACUUUUUGAUCAAGGUCCUUGAAGUUUGUACACAUCAGCAUUUUAUUAUCAACAUAUUUCCAUGUCAGCAUUUUUUUUAUUAUUGAAAUAGUUAAUUAUUGCAUUUUUUUUAUUUGAGGCUGCGUUUUUAUUCCACGGCUGUUAAUGCCUCAAACGCCUCCUAUGCCAAACUAAAUUGACGCAUCCAUUCCAUCAACUAAUCCCGCUCACUUGAUUUCUUCCCUUUUUGAUUUUCGUAACUGCAAAUUCCACAAUAAUCUGACUAAGUUUUUCAAAUCCAUCAUUAUUAACUUUGUUAUGAUGCUUCAAAUUCAAGUUUGGCCAAGAUUUGAAUCGAAGUCAUACUUUAUCCGUGAGCAUUCGAGCAAGCGCAGUUUUUUGCAGAGUAAUUUGAAGAAUCAACGACAAUUCCGAGCUAAAAUUCGAGAUGGAAGGUGCUAUAGUGGGGAGAUGCACUCAUCAGGGUACCACUAUAUCUAUCCCAAUUUUUUACCACACUACAUUCUCUGAAGUGUACAAUGAGGUUUGCUCAAGGCUUAGUAAUUUGACUCAUGGUUUAUUCGACCUUACAUAUGUUUUACCUGGAUAUUCUACUUGUCUAUUGCAAUCUGAUAUGGACGUGCGAAUGUUGUAUAUGUCGGUUGUCAACGAGAAAUAUUAUUGUGUUGAUAUAGUUAUCAACCAAAAGUCGUGCUGUGACAAUGAUCGUGUCAGCCGAAAUACCCCUGCUUCACAAACAUUUAUAAUUGAAGGAAAUAUUCACAGUGAUGGGAAUGAGUAUUUAGGGAAAUAUGCAACACCGGGAGGCAAGGUAUAUAUGUCAAACUCUUGGAAGACCUACAUUAAUCAUGUAAAUCAAGGAUUUGAAGGCGGAGUGGAAGAAUUCAGAGACAAACUUUGUAAGUAUGCAGUUGAAAUGGGAUUCACAUUUGUGUAUGUGAAGAACGACAGGGAAAGAGUUACAGCGGUAUGUAAUAAGAAAUAUUCUGAAGGUUGUCAGUGGCGUGUGCAUGCAUCAGUAUGUCAUGUACCCCAUACCACCUAGUUUGUACCCCUGCUAACAAUGAAUUCAACACUACAAAUAAUAAAUUGUACCCCAUACCA